rnacentral:misc_RNA from 1 species
GAUGAAGAACGUAGCGAAAUGCGAUACGUAAUGUGAAUUGCAGAAUUCAGUGAAUCAUCGAGUCUUUGAACGCACAUUGCGCCCCCUGGUAUUCCGGGGGGCAUGCCUGUUCGAGCGUCAUUUCAACCCUCAAGCCCCCGGGUUUGGUGUUGGGGAUCGGCUCUGCCCUUCUGGGCGGUGCCGCCCCCGAAAUACAUUGGCGGUCUCGCUGCAGCCUCCAUUGCGUAGUAGCUAACACCUCGCAACUGGAACGCGGCGCGGCCAUGCCGUAAAACCCCAACUUCUGAAUGUUGACCUCGGAUCAGGUAGGAAUACCCGCUGAACUUAAGCAUAUCAAUAAGCGGAGGA